CACGUAGGGGACGAGCGUUGUUCGGAUUCAUUGGGCGUAAAGGGCGCGUAGGCGGCCUGUUAAGUCGAACGUGAAAUCCCCGGGCUCAACCCGGGAACUGCGUCCAAUACUGGCAGGCUUGAAUCCGGGAGAGGGAUGCGGAAUUCCAGGUGUAGCGGUGAAAUGCGUAGAUAUCUGGAGGAACACCGGUGGCGAAGGCGGCAUCCUGGACCGGCAUUGACGCUGAGGCGCGAAAGCCAGGGGAGCAAACGGG
rnacentral:rRNA from 1 species